rnacentral:lncRNA from 1 species
GUCCGCUUUGCUGCUGCCAGAGGGAGUCUGGUGUUUGCGGAGCAGGUGGGGUUGGGAACCGGGUGGGACUUAGCUUUAGAAUUUCCUCUGGCGACCCAGUCUUUCCUCAGGCUUCCUGGAGGGAGCAUCUCCUUCGGGGAUAUUAGUAGCAGCGUUUUAGGCUGGAAGAAAGUCAAAAAAUCCCUCCUUGGGGCACUUCAGUCCCCUUGGAGCACUGUGAUACCUGGAGGUGAUAGAGGGAAGCUGCAAAAUUUUAUCUGAGAUGGUGAUGAAGCAGACUGAAAGUAUAUCUUUGCUCUUUGCUUCUCUUGCAGGUACCUUGAGCCAUCCUGGGGUAAUAUUUGAAACUGGUGCCUGGUCAGAGCAUUGCUUCUGUCCUGGCAAGAUUGGGGGUUUGGGGUAGUGAAUUGCAGAGCUGUCCACCUUCCUGCACUGGACUUUGCAUUCUGUGAUUGGAACUGGCUCCACAUCCAGGUGCUGUUCACCUGGCCACGCUCUACAAGGUAAGGCUUCAAAGUGCUCUUUGACCAGAAGACAUGAAUCUUCAAUUACUACACUUUACAAUUCUCUCAUGUAAUUAUAUCAGAUCUUUAAAGAAUUUCAGUUUCUUGAAUCUUGUGGUGUGUUUAUUGUGAGCAAAGCAUCAUAGGUGCUGUCAGGGAUACAGUGAUAAAUAAGAAAAGGACUCUGAUCUCAUUUGCAGUGCUCUGGGGUAGGCAGAGUAUAUGCACAUAAUUGUAACACACAGCCCAAUAAACAGCAGUGCCAGAAUUGGAGGAGCUGGGCU